UACGGAGGAAGCAAGCGUUAUCCGGAAUUACUGGGCGUAAAGAGUUGCGUAGGUGGCAAAGUGUGUCAGUAGUGAAAGCGUGUGGCUCAACCAUAUAUACAUUACUGAAACUGCUUAGCUAGAGGACGAGAGAGGUUAUUGGAAUUCCCAGUGUAGGAGUGAAAUCCGUAGAUAUUGGGAGGAACACCGAUGGCGUAGGCAGAUAACUGGCUCGUUCCUGACACUAAGGCACGAAAGCGUGGGGAGCAAACGGG
rnacentral:misc_RNA from 1 species